GAAUUGAAAGCUAAUUAUAAGCAUUGGCCUUGUAAACCAAAGAUAGAGUGUUUCUCUCAAUUCU
rnacentral:tRNA from 1 species